UUGCCCCUACGGGAGGCAGCAGUAGGGAAUCUUCCACAAUGGACGAAAGUCUGAUGGAGCAACGCCGCGUGAGUGAAGAAGGGUUUCGGCUCGUAAAGCUCUGUUGUUAGAGAAGAAAGUGCGUGAGAGUAACUGUUCACGUUUCGACGGUAUCUAACCAGAAAGCCACGGCUAACUACGUGCCAGCAGCCGCGGUAAUACGUAGGUGGCAAGCGGUAUCCGGAUUUAUUGGGCGUAAAGGGAACGCAGGCGGUCUUUUAAGUCUGAUGUGAAAGCCUUCGGCUUAACCGGAGUAG
rnacentral:rRNA from 1 species